UCAUGCCUCUCAGACCGCGGUUGGCAACGCCUAGCCAGCGUCGCGGCCACCGCACGCCCCUUUCCCACUGCCCUGUCCCCCAUAUCAGCACGCCAGUCACCACCCCGCCCAUCAAUGCCACUUUCUCGGCCAUCUCGAUCACCCAGUAGACGGAGCCGCCGACUCCGCGGCCAUCUUCGCGAGGGCGCAGGAAGAGCGCGUAGGAGAAAUAGGCGAUCCAGAGGGCGAGGAGGAGGAUGAAGAAGGUGUUUUGCUGCCGGCGGGCACGGAGGGCGAGGUACUGGGAGCGCAGGGAGGUUUCGAGGAUGAGCAGAUUUAGGUAGAUUUGCGGCGGGGAGGAGGGCAGGGUGGAGAGGGGGUCUGGAGCAACGGUGAGAGGGCUGGGAGGAUCUUCUUGGGACGGAUGUCCUUGUUGCUGCUGCUGCUGCUGCUGCUGCUGAAAGUGGUAUUGGGAUUCAAGAGGCGGGGAUGAGGUGCUGGUCGGGGACGGGGACAGGGACAGGGCGGUGGUGCUUGGAGCGCCCUUGAUAACUUGGUCGAGGCGGGAUGACAUAUUUAGCUGGGGUUAUGUAUUAACAGACGAGUGGGGACGCAUAGCUAGCGAUCGAUGAUGGUAUUAGGUAUUACGGCGG
rnacentral:sRNA from 1 species